rnacentral:rRNA from 1 species
UACGUAGGUGGCUAGCGUUGUCCGGAUUUACUGGGCGUAAAGAGCUCGUAGGUGGUUUGUCGCGUUGUUCGUGAAAUCCCACGGCUUAACUGUGGGCGUGCGGGCGAUACGGGCAGACUGGAGUACUGCAGGGGAGACUGAAAUUCCUGGUGUAGCGGUGGAAUGCGCAGAUAUCAGGAGGAACACCGGUGGCGAAGGCGGGUCUCUGGGCAGUAACUGACGCUGAGGAGCGAAAGCGUGGGGAGCGAACAGG